rnacentral:rRNA from 1 species
AUUGAACGCUGGCGGCAGGCCUAACACAUGCAAGUCGAGCGGAUGAAGGGAGCUUGCUCCUGGAUUCAGCGUCGGACGGGUGAGUAAUGCCUAGGAAUCUGCCUGGUAGUGGGGGAUAACGUCCGGAAACGGGCGCUAAUACCGCAUACGUCCUGAGGGAGAUAGUUGGGGAUCUUCGGACCUCACGCUAUCAGAUGAGCCUAGGUCGGAUUAGCUAGUUGGUGGGGUAAAGGCCUACCAAGGCGACGAUCCGUAACUGGUCUGAGAGGAUGAUCAGUCACACUGGAACUGGGACACGGUCCGGAGUCCUACGGGAGGCAGCAGAGGGGAAUAUUGGACAAUGGGGGAAAGCCUGACCCAGCCAGGCCGCGUGUGUGAAGAAGGUCUUCGGAUUGUAAAGCUCUUUAAGUUGGGAGGAAGGGCAGUAAGGUGAUACCUUGCUGUUUUGACGUUACCAACAGAAUAAGCACCGGCUAACUUCGUG